AUUCCAUGAUGAGGGCAUCUUCGUAAUAGGUCUUUAAACCUUUCCCAUGCCUCAUAAAAAGACUCAUCAUGAAAGGUAUUGAUCUCAUUCCUCAACUU
rnacentral:snoRNA from 1 species